rnacentral:rRNA from 1 species
UACGGAGGGGGCUAGCGUUGUUCGGAAUUACUGGGCGUAAAGCGCACGUAGGCGGCUUUGUAAGUUAGAGGUGAAAGCCCAGGGCUUAACCCUGGAAUUGCCUUUAAGACUGCAUCGCUAGAAUCGUGGAGAGGUGAGUGGAAUUCCGAGUGUAGAGGUGAAAUUCGUAGAUAUUGGGAAGAACACCGGUGGCGAAGGCGGCUCACUGGCUCGUAACUGACGCUCAUGCACGACAGCGUGGGGAUCAAACAGG